rnacentral:snoRNA from 1 species
ACACCUUACUUGGACAGGAUCUGUUCUAUUGUAAUCGUAUCUCUGUGUCCUUGAUUUCUAAGGAGAGGGGAAUCGUAAUAAUC